UUUAACUGAAGAGUUUGAUCAUGGCUCAGAUUGAACGCUGGCGGCAGGCUUAACACAUGCAAGUCGAGCGGGGGAAGGUAGCUUGCUACUGGACCUAGCGGCGGACGGGUGAGUAAUGCUUAGGAAUCUGCCUAUUAGUGGGGGACAACAUCUCGAAAGGGAUGCUAAUACCGCAUACGUCCUACGGGAGAAAGCAGGGGAUCUUCGGACCUUGCGCUAAUAGAUGAGCCUAAGUCGGAUUAGCUAGUUGGUGGGGUAAAGGCCUACCAAGGCGACGAUCUGUAGCGGGUCUGAGAGGAUGAUCCGCCACACUGGGACUGAGACACGGCCCAGACUCCUACGG
rnacentral:rRNA from 1 species